GAUGAACGCUGGCGGCGUGCCUAAUACAUGCAGGUCGAGCGAACAGACGAGGAGCUUGCUCCUCUGACGUUAGCGGCGGACGGGUGAGUAACACGUGGAUAACCUACCUAUAAGACUGGGAUAACUUCGGGAAACCGGAGCUAAUACCGGAUAAUAUAUUGAACCGCAUGGUUCAAUAGUGAAAGACGGUUUUGCUGUCACUUAUAGAUGGAUCCGCGCCGCAUUAGCUAGUUGGUAAGGUAACGGCUUACCAAGGCAACGAUGCGUAGCCGACCUGAGAGGGUGAUCGGCCACACUGGAACUGAGACACGGUCCAGACUCCUACGGGAGGCAGCAGUAGGGAAUCUUCCGCAAUGGGCGAAAGCCUGACGGAGCAACGCCGCGUGAGUGAUGAAGGUCUUCGGAUCGUAAAACUCUGUUAUUAGGGAAGAACAAAUGUGUAAGUAACUAUGCACGGCUUGACGGUACCUAAUCAGAAAGCCACGGCUAACUACGUG
rnacentral:rRNA from 1 species